rnacentral:rRNA from 1 species
GAUGAACGCGGGCGGCGUGCCUAAUACAUGCAAGUCGAGCGAACAGACGAGGAGCUUGCUCCUCUGACGUUAGCGGCGGACGGGUGAGUAACACGUGGAUAACCUACCUAUAAGACUGGGAUAACUUCGGGAAACCGGAGCUAAUACCGGAUAAUAUAUUGAACCGCAUGGUUCAAUAGUGAAAGACGGUUUUGCUGUCACUUAUAGAUGGAUCCGCGCCGCAUUAGCUAGUUGGUAAGGUAACGGCUUACCAAGGCAACGAUGCGUAGCCGACCUGAGAGGGUGAUCGGCCACACUGGAACUGAGACACAGUCCAGACUCCUACGGGAGGCAGCAGUAGGGAAUCUUCCGCAAUGGGCGAAAGCCUGACGGAGCAACGCCGCGUGAGUGAUGAAGGUCUUCGGAUCGUAAAACUCUGUUAUUAGGGAAGAACAAAUGUGUAAGUAACUAUGCACGUCUUGACGGUACCUAAUCAGAAAGCCACGGCUAACUACGUG